rnacentral:lncRNA from 1 species
GCGAGUAUUCUGAUUUCUGGGCAUGGACCCACUGGUGCUCCACUUUCUUCCACAAGUUCUUUGUGAAAUACCUACCUGCCACUGAUCACUCAGUGACGUCUACCAUUUGCACAGAAUGACCAGUGGCUCAGAUGCUCUUCACUGGUCAUCCAUGAUUGCCACAGACUUCCAGAGGAACUCAGGGCCAUGAACCUGCAGUCUUAGUCCAGUCCCUGCCCCAGUCCACUGGAAUGAUGCAAGGACCCAUCCUGUCACCCCCUCCACCACUGCCAGGACACUCUUGUUUCCUACCCCUUUAUCCUCUGGCUAUGAUGCAGCUUCACCUUGUUGGGGGAGGUCCCCAGGAGCCAGCCUCCUGACCACUGCCUCUGCAGAGACUCCUGCCAUGCCCCACUCAGCAGUGCAGACUUGUGCAUGGACACCCCACACCAGAGCUCUGUUUAUCACACACUCGGGACAGCAAUUUGGACUAGAGCUCGUCCUACACUCCCUUUAUCUACCCUAACUCCAGAAGCAUACAUUUUUUGACUACUUCGUCCCACCCAGCAGCCUCCACUGAAGUCCCAGCAUGUCUCAGAGCUGAGGCUAUGCUGGAGAUGACACAUGACAUUUCAGUCCAUUCUUGGAAGUUUCUUUGUCUUUGCAAGAAGGAUGUUAAUUUCGCAGGUUAAUUUGGUAAACCUGUAAGUCAAGAAGGGGGACUUUGACUUCAAAUUAUUACAUUUACAAUGCUGCGUAUUAUUUUAGCAGGUUCCACAGAGAUACUUCACUCAUUGUUACAAUUGUGUUUUUAUAAACUUCAAAGAAACAUGGACUUUCCUUUCAGAAACUGCCUCACACAGACUCAUAUUACAUUGUUCUGAACCCCAAGUCUACCUAAGACAUGACCAAGACAUCAUUUGAUGUGCCAUCCCAUCCUCCUGCCGGAGAGUGUGACCCAAGGAAGAGACCCUCAGGGCUGGUGGCCAUAUUGCCCCUCUCUGUGAUGGACUGCAUGUGCCACUGCCAUUACUUAUACUGACUUUGCCCUUAACUAUUAGUUCUGAUUGAUUAAUUUUUGGCAAAAUACUCCACAAGGUCCAUAUCAGUUAGCUAUUGCCACCUAACAAAAUCCUAGAACUCAGUAGCUUAAACCAACAUGCAUUUAUUAUUGUGGAUGAGUCCAGAGAUCUUCUGGUCUCAGGUGACUUACUCGUGCAUCUGCAUCUGCGUUCUGUGUGUUGGUUGGCAGCUCUGCUGAUCCUGGCUGGACACUAUCAUCUGUUUAGGGGUCAGGUGACUGCGUCUGGCAUAGGAUGGCUGUGGCUAAGACAAGUGGGCUCUUCUCCAUGUAGUCUUACCCUUCUGGCCCUGGGUGGUUCAUAUAGAGGCAGCAGGAUUCCAUGAGAGGGUCUCUUGAGCCCUAGGCUCAGAACUGGUACAAUGUCAACGUCACUUCUGCCACAUUCAAGGCCAAAAUAUACCACAAGCCCUGCCUACAUUCACGGGGUGGGAAAGUAGGCUCUACCUCUUUCUGAGAGGAACUGCAAAGUGACACUGCAAAGGGCACAGCAAUAGGGAAGGGUGGUGAAGUGUGGAUAUUUUUGCAAUCGAUCUACCAACUCUCUACUAAUAGCUUUUAUUGGCCAGGUGCAGGCUCACACCUAUAAUCCCAGCACUCUGGGAGGCCGAGCUGGGAGGAUCACUUGAGGCCAGAAGUUCAAGACAAGCCUAGGCAACAUAGUGAGACCCUGUCUCUAUAUAUAAAAAAAAAAAAAUUCUAAAAAUUAGCUGGUGCAGUGGUGUGCACCUCUGGUCCCAGCUACUUGGUAGGCUGAGACAGGAGGAUCACUUGAGCUCAGGAGUUAGAGGUUGCACUUAGCCAUGAUCACAGCACUGCACUCCAGCCUGGGUGACAGAGCAAGACCCUGUCUCUAUUAAAAAGAAAAAAAACUUUUAUUUUUCUCAUUCUACAUGUAAGUAAUUAAAUGUCUUUAUAAUUAUAAAGCGCUUUCUCUUAUGUGAUCUUGCAUAAUAUAUCCAACGCAUGCACUUCCCAGAUGACGAAACUAGAGACUCUAAGAGGUUAAGCUGCUUGCCAAGAGCUAGUAAGUGGCAGUAUCAGGACUAGAAUCCUGAUAGAAUCCUAGGACUAGAAGACUAGAAUCCAGGUCUUCUGAUACAAAGUUCAGAAUCAUUUCGAAAAUUUCACACUCAUGAUCCCCUUUGGGGUAAUGGUGUUCCCUUAAAAUAGCUUCCUCCAAAGGAAGGAAUAAUUUGUGGCCAUAGGAUGGGAGCAGGGGUGGGGCUAUACAAUCCAUAUGGAGCCUGACCCCAUCUCGGUCUCCUUGUCUCCCUAGCACGGUGUUGUAAUCCUCUAAGCCAAAUAAUCCUAGCAAGAUGCUGUACCCUACACACCCUCAGACACUUCAUUCCAGACUAUGGUUUUGUGAGAUUUCAUGCUGCUUUAAUUAUCUUAUUCCUUGUUAACUCUGGGUCUCCCUGCCAGCCUGCCUUAGAACUUUUGUCUCUUUCCACUGUCACACUUUGUCUCAAGCUACAUAUCCCAGCCUCAGACCUACUGCCUGCACUUUCAAUCUGUUUUCUCCCUUCUCCUGAUGUGUUCUUGAGAUCUCGGGGUUAUUGGCUUUUUUCCCCAGGACUACAGCUCUCAACCAGUUUUUACAGGACCAGCUGGUGACCUCACUUGCUACUUGACUGCUGCAGCUCAUUUAAAUGCAACCAACGGCCUUGGAGUUUUAAUAAGAAACUUGGAGCUCCUAGUUCUGUUGCGACUUGGUGGCAGCUCAGUACCUGCUAAAGUGUUGCUUCCCCCCUGGCCUCACAGAGGGACUGUAAAAGGUUCGAGUUCUGAAAGCUUGAGUGGAAGCUGUUGCGUGCAGGCUCCUGGGCCCAGAGAGGACUGCUUUUCUUUUCUGAGCCAGCCUCCUUUUUAUUUCCUCCUGGCACGUGUCUGCUCUACUGAGGUCUCCACUAAGGGCUCUAUGCUCAAGACAAGCAGCAACACGAGGGAGGCCAAGUCUGGUGCGAAGAGAAGAGGUGAAGAGUCACUCAGAUGUUGCCUUGGACACAAUCCUGCACCUCAGGCAGACACUACCCCACUGCCCCACAGAGUGGACCCCACAGAGCUCCACUCUGAAGUCUUGAUGGGGUAGCCAUGGACAGACUGAGGCAAACUCAGAAAUUUGCACUUCUUUUGCCAAAAGCAAAUCUUAGGUAACAGAACUUUAUCUUUCAUUUGGAAACCCCUUUUCUUCUUCUAACAGCUAUGUGUAUCCCACUUACAAAAAAGGAAAAUGAAUCUUCAAGAUUCACCAAGUGAUGACACUUGGCAAGUCUGAAAGGGAGAAUUCCUAGCUCCACUCACUGCUCUCAGAUUUCCUGAUAAGUAAUGGUGAAGACAAGGCAGGGAGUGAGAACUGUGUGUUUAGUUGGGGUCUCCUUGGGGAUUAUAAAAGACAAACAAACAAAAAACCUUGACACUCAAUAAAUAAACCAUUUAUAGAAGCUAAGAUAAGGAGUUCCCGUGAGCUUCGGAGCCACUUCUGUUUGCUGCUGUUCUCCAAUUAGCCGAGAAUGCAAGCAGAUUGUGCGAACGCAGCACUAAGCCCCGUGCCAAACACCUUCUCAGGUUUUUUCCCCUCUGCAUUUUGCUAAUCCCUGGAUGAAACAUAAUCGCAGAGAAAUGUUCAAGGUUGGACACAACAGGGAGGAACUCAAUGUUGGCUCCCACCCAGUGGAAAUAACAUGCCACUGGACUCAGCAAGGCAGGAAUAAGGAUGUUAAACAAAUACACUUCUCUCCAGCCUCCCUAGCAACAGCUUGUUGCUUUCUACAGAAGCCCUGAGUUUCCUCAAGCUGUUCAUUCCGCUCCAAGGUUUCAUCACCUGAGAUAUGUUUUAUAAGAGAGAAACAGGGAAGUCAACGGGUAAAAAUUCCAAUCAGGAAAAGAAUGGAAAGAGAAUUAAGUCAUUUAUUCCCCUCUAGGGAAAAAUAAAAGUAGCAAAAGUAUUUAUAUAGAAUAAGUAUAUAAUUAUGUGUAAUAAUUAAACUCCAGCAACUUGCAGUCAUCAUUCUUUGUCACUUUGUCUCAAACCAGAGGAAAACAUUUCUCCCUAUUGUGGUUUCAAGUUAAGAUUUCUGAAUUAGAAGUUCCAGGUUCCAACUGACUCCUGUCAUUUGUGUUCUGAUGAUGGAAUGGGAAAAGAAAUCAGAGAACAGGACAGAACUUUCUGUAAUAAAAAGGGAAAAAAAUCCUGUCUAAAAGUACUUAAAAUAUAACACCUAUCUCAAAUAUACACACAUUUAUAUUUAUAUCUUAUUUAAUCUUUACCACAGUCCUGAGAUUGAUGUUAUUAUUCCAUUUUACAGAUGAAAAUCUGAGGUGAAGAGGGGUUUAAGGCCACACAGAUUGAACCAUGGAGUGAACUGGAGAUGGCUAUGCGGUUCUCCUAAACAGAAAAGGGGGCUCAGAACGGUUUAGGAGAGGUACCGCUGGAGAUUAAAAACAAUCACAAGAG